CUGGGACAAGCCCUGGAAACGGGGUCUAAUACCGGAUACGACCUGCCGAGGCAUCUCGGCGGGUGGAAAGCUCCGGCGGUGAAGGAUGAGCCCGCGGCCUAUCAGCUUGUUGGUGAGGUAACGGCUCACCAAGGCGACGACGGGUAGCCGGCCUGAGAGGGCGACCGGCCACACUGGGACUGAGACACGGCCCAGACUCCUACGGGAGGCAGCAGUGGGGAAUAUUGCACAAUGGGCGAAAGCCUGAUGCAGCGACGCCGCGUGAGGGAUGACGGCCUUCGGGUUGUAAACCUCUUUCAGCAGGGAAGAAGCGAAAGUGACGGUACCUGCAGAAGAAGCGCCGGCUAACUACGUGCCAGCAGCCGCGGUAAUACGUAGGGCGCAAGCGUUGUCCGGAAUUAUUGGGCGUAAAGAGCUCGUAGGCGGCUUGUCACGUCGGGUGUGAAAGCCCGGGGCUUAACCCCGGGUCUGCAUCCGAUACGGGCAGGCUAGAGUGUGGUAGGGGAGAUCGGAAUUCCUGGUGUAGCGGUGAAAUGCGCAGAUAUCAGGAGGAACACCGGUGGCGAAGGCGGAUCUCUGGGCCAUUACUGACGCUGAGGAGCGAAAGCGUGGGGAGCGAACAGGAUUAGAUACCCUGGUAGUCCACGCCGUAAACGUUGGGAACUAGGUGUUGGCGACAUUCCACGUCGUCGGUGCCGCAGCUAACGCAUUAAGUUCCCCGCCUGGGGAGUACGGCCGCAAGGCUAAAACU
rnacentral:rRNA from 1 species